GAUGAACGCUGGCGGCGUGCCUAAUACAUGCAAGUCGAGCGAACAGAUGAGGAGCUUGCUCCUCUGACGUUAGCGGCGGACGGGUGAGUAACACGUGGAUAACCUACCUAUAAGACUGGGAUAACUUCGGGAAACCGGAGCUAAUACCGGAUAAUAUAUUGAACCGCAUGGUUCAAUAGUGAAAGACGGUUUUGCUGUCACUUAUGGAUGGAUCCGCGCCGCAUUAGCUAGUUGGUAAGGUAACGGCUUACCAAGGCAACGAUGCGUAGCCGACCUGAGAGGGUGAUCGCCCACACUGGAACUGAGACACGGUCAAGACUCCUACGAGAGGCAGCAGUAGGGAAUCUUACGCAAUGGGCGAAAGCAUGACGGAGCAACGCCGCGUGAGUGAUGAAGGUCUUCGGAUCGUAAAACUCUGUUAUUAGGGAAGAACAAAUGUGUAAGUAACUAUGCACGUCUUGACGGUACCUAAUCAGAAAGCCACGGCUAACUACGUG
rnacentral:rRNA from 1 species